rnacentral:rRNA from 1 species
AGUUGGGGGCAUCAGUAUUCUGGAGCGAGAGGUGAAAUUCUUGGACCUUCGGAAGACUAACAACUGCGAAAGCAUUUGCCUAGGAUGUUCUCUUUAAUCAAGAACGAAAGUUGGGGGAUCGAAGACGAUCAGAUACCGUCGUAGUCUCAACUAUAAACUAUGCCAGCUAGGGAUUGGUGGACGUUUAUUUGCGACUCCAUCAGCACCUUAUGAGAAAUCAAAGCAUUUGGGUUCCGGGGGGAGUAUGGUCGCAAGGCUGAAACUUAAAGGAAUUGACGGGAGGGCACCACCAGGAGUGGAGCCUGUGGCUUAAUUUGACUCAACACGGGAAAACUUACCAGGUCCGGACAUAGUAAGGAUUGACAGAUUGAUAGCUC